rnacentral:rRNA from 1 species
GGAAUCACUGGGCUUAAAGGGCGCGUAGGCGGGCUGUCAAGUCUGGGGUGAAAUGCCACGGCUCAACCGUGGAACUGCCUUAGAUACUGACGGCCUCGAGGAAGGUAGGGGCAUGCGGAACUGUAGGUGGAGCGGUGAAAUGCGUUGAUAUCUACAGGAACUCCGGUGGCGAAAGCGGCGUGCUGGACCUUUUCUGACGCUGAGGCGCGAAAGCUAGGGGAGCAAACAGG